AUAUUCUUUCGGGGCUGGGUGAAAUUCCCAACCGGCAGUAAUUUUAAGCCUGCGACCCAUAGUUUUUAACUAUGGCUGAUCUAGUGAGAAUCUAGAGCCGACAGUGAAAGUCUGGAUGGGAGGAAGAAUAA
rnacentral:ncRNA from 1 species